AGGUCUUACUGUUGAGGUCUUACUUCUGAAACAGAGAAGAAUUAAACAAGUCAGAUUUACCUUCUUGGAAAUGUGGUCCAGAUUUCUCUACUCCCAAGCUCUAAAAAA
rnacentral:sRNA from 1 species